rnacentral:rRNA from 1 species
CUCUGACACAGGUGCUGCAUGGCUGUCGUCAGCUCGUGUCGUGAGAUGUUGGGUUAAGUCCCGCAACGAGCGCAACCCUGCAUUCAGUUGCCAUCGGUAAGGCCGGGCACUCUGGAUGGACUGCCGGCGACAAGCCGGAGGAAGGUGGGGACGACGUCAAGUCAUCAUGGCCCUUAUGUCCAGGGCGACACACGUGCUACAAUGGCCGGCACAACGGGAAGCGAAGGGGCGACCCUGAGCGGAUCCCACAAAAGCCGGUCUCAGUUCGGAUUGCAGUCUGCAACUCGACUGCAUGAAGUUGGAAUCGCUAGUAAUCGUGGAUCAGCCAAGCCGCGGUGAAUACGUUCCCGGGCCUU